AAAAGAAGAUGGGAGAAAAGCAAUAUGAAAGAAGUCAAGAGGAAAUGUGCUAUUCCCUCUAGGACGUAAAACGCAUUUGAUAUAGCAUACUUCUAUUUCUCCCACUCUCUCUUGCUUAGUAGAACACGUUAGAUUACGGCGUUGAAGAUACGUUACUCGAAGGGCUAAGAAGAAAUGGUUGCUCAUGAGCCAUAAGUGAGAAUAUAGAAAGUAAUUAGUAUUUCAUUGUCGAACGAAUAAACGAGCGUUCAAAUCGAUGCGACGGCCGUGGGAAGAGUGCUUAGAAGGUAACGCGUCCGCGUCCGUGUUACCGUCAUCGUCGCAGUCAUCAUCAUCGUCAUCAUCGUUACUACCACCAUCAUAUUUAUCAGAAUAAUUAACAAAUUUGUACGUUUACAUUUGUCUGAGAGCAAAAUAAGGCGAUUAAAGGCAAUACAAAAAAAAUAAAAAUGUUUUUUUAAGUCAAA
rnacentral:lncRNA from 1 species